rnacentral:rRNA from 1 species
UGGGAAAAGCUCAACUUUGUAAUCUGGCUCUUUCAGAGUCCGAGUUGUAGUCUAGAGAAGUGUUAUCCGCGCCGGAUCUCAGAUAAGGCUGUUGGAAUGCAGCGUCAAAGAGGGUGAGAAUCCCGUUUGUACUGAGAACUCCCGUGUGCAUUGUGGUACGCUUUCAAA